rnacentral:misc_RNA from 1 species
GUGAAUUUGGCUUAAUGAUCUUUUUCCAGUUAUAUGAUAGUUGCUCCAGUCCACCGUAAUAUCAAAAGAUCCAUCCUCUACUCUUGGAUUUAAUCUCCCGAUAGCCACCCUUCUGCAUCAUCUAAAACAAGGACAAACACACAAACCACAAAAAAAAAACUAACUCAGGUCUCAAGUCUAGAAUCCACUAAAAUUACGAGAUACUGCAACUGAUGGCUGGCCAUCAGGGAAGACCCCACACAGAAACGC